GCGUUAGUGAAAUGUGUGCAGAAGUAGACGUCACAUCUAUUCAACACUCCACCCUUUAUAAAAGCAGCCAAGAGCUCUCAUAAAGACAGAGCCAUUCGUGAGCAAGUCGCAUUGAUAGCUUUCCUGUAGACUGAUCCUUAGAAGUACCACAUUGUUGUCGAAAAAUGCGGACCCUGGUUGUGGCUGCCAUCACGCUUGCCAUGUUGACCAUAGCAUCGGGACGCAGCAAGCCUGCAUUUGAUAGCAGCGAGGCAGAAGUCAGCAGGGAAGACGGCCAGACGAGCUUGAGUACACUUUGGGCGAGUGUGCAACCCAGUUUCGAUGCUUUUUGGAAAAAAAUUCUUGAGCUCUUGUUUAAAGCAGUCGGUUUAUUUAUGUAACGAAUUGCCGGCGCAGCGGGUUUCGGCAUAUGGGCUUCUGAAUUUACUGUUGUGCCCCAAUUCAAACUUAUUCAGCCUCCAA